GACAGAGGAUGCAAGCGUUAUCCGGAAUGAUUGGGCGUAAAGCGCGGGCAGGCGGUCCGACAAGUCUGAUGUGAAAUCUCCGGGCUUAACCGGGAGAGGCCAUUGGAAACUGACAGGCUGGAGGGCAGUAGAGGUAGGCGGAAUUCCGGGUGGAGUGGUGAAAUGCGUAGAGAUCCGGAGGAACACCAGAGGCGAAGGCGGCCUACUGGGCUGCACCUGACGCUGAGCCGCGAAAGCCAGGGGAGCGAACGGG
rnacentral:rRNA from 1 species